rnacentral:rRNA from 1 species
GUGCCAGCAGCCGCGGUAAUACAGAGGGUGCGAGCGUUAAUCGGAUUUACUGGGCGUAAAGCGUGCGUAGGCGGCCAUUUAAGUCAAAUGUGAAAUCCCCGAGCUUAACUUGGGAAUUGCAUUCGAUACUGGAUGGCUAGAGUAUGGGAGAGGAUGGUAGAAUUCCAGGUGUAGCGGUGAAAUGCGUAGAGAUCUGGAGGAAUACCGAUGGCGAAGGCAGCCAUCUGGCCUAAUACUGACGCUGAGGUACAAAAGCAUGGGGAGCAAACAGGAUUAGAUACCCGUGUAGUCC